rnacentral:rRNA from 1 species
GAUCAUGGCUCAGGAUGAACGCUAGCUACAGGCUUAACACAUGCAAGUCGAGGGGCAUCAGGGUGUAGCAAUACACCGCUGGCGACCGGCGCACGGGUGAGUAACACGUAUCCAACCUGCCCUUUACUCGGGGAUAACCUUGCGAAAGUAAGACUAAUACCCAAUGAUAUCUCUAGAAGACAUCUGAAAGAGAUUAAAGAUUUAUCGGUGAUGGAUGGGGAUGCGU